rnacentral:rRNA from 1 species
AGUGGCGGACGGGUGAGUAACACGUGGGCAACCUGCCUGUAAGAUUGGGAUAACUCCGGGAAACCGGAGCUAAUACCGAAUAAUAAUCAGCUCCGCAUGGAGCGGGUUUGAAAGGCGGCUUCGGCUGUCACUUACAGAUGGGCCCGCGGUGCAUUAGCUAGUUGGUGGGGUAAAGGCCUACCAAGGCGACGAUGCAUAGCCGACCUGAGAGGGUGAUCGGCCACACUGGGACUGAGACACGGCCCAGACUUCUACGGGAGGCAGCAAUAGGGAAACUUCCGCAAUGGACGAAAGUCUGACGGAGCAACGCCGCGUGUGUGAAGAAGGUUUUCGGAUCGUAAAGCACUGUUGUUAGAGAAGAACAAGGAUAAGAGUAACUGCUUGUCCCCUGACGGUAUCUAACCAGAAAGCCACGGCUAACUACGUGCCAGCAGCCGCGGUAAUACGUAGGUGGCAAGCGUUGUCCGGAUUUAUUGGGCGUAAAGCGAGCGCAGGCGGUUUCUUAAGUCUGAUGUGAAAGCCCCCGGCUUAACCGGGGAGGGUCAUUGGAAACUGGGAGACUUAGAGUGCAGAAGAGGAGAGUGGAAUUCCAUGUGUAGCGGUGAAAUGCGUAGAUAUAUGGAGGAACACCAGUGGCGAAGGCGACUCUCUGGUCUGUAACUGACGCUGAGGCGCGAAAGCGUGGGGAGCAAACAGGAUUAGAUACCCUGGUAGUCCACGCCGUAAACGAUGAGUGCUAAGUGUUAGGGGGUUU